rnacentral:rRNA from 1 species
GAUGAACGCUAGCUACAGGCUUAACACAUGCAAGUCGAGGGGAAACGGCAUUAAGUGCUUGCACUUUUUGGACGUCGACCGGCGCACGGGUGAGUAACGCGUAUCCAACCUUCCCAUGACUAAGGGAUAACCUGCCGAAAGGCAGACUAAUACCUUAUGGUCUUCACUGACGGCAUCAGAUGUUAAGUAAAGAUUUAUCGGUUAUGGAUGGGGAUGCGUCUGAUUAGCUUGUUGGCGGGGUAACGGCCCACCAAGGCAACGAUCAGUAGGAGUUCUGAGAGGAAGGUCGCCCACUUUGGAACUGAGACACGGUCCAAACUCCUACGCGAGGCAGCAGUGAGGAAUGUUGGGCAAUGGGCGAGAGCCUGAACCAGUGAAGUAGCGUGCAGGAUGACGGCCCUAUGGGUUGUAAACUGCUUUUGUAUGGGGAUAAAGUCAAUCACGUGAGAUUGUUUGCAGUUACCAAACGAAUAAAGACCGGUGAAUUCCUU